UUCACCUCAACGGGGUGCUUGCUUAAAAGCUGAGAAUGCGUUCGGUCGCCUGAACCUUACCCGUAGAACCUGAUCCGGUUAAUGCCGGCGGAGGGAUUUGAGAACGCGUAUAGC
rfam:Leminorella grimontii ATCC 33999 = DSM 5078 strain ATCC 33999 GLGR.assembly.16, whole genome shotgun sequence.